UGCCAGCCGCCGCGGUAAUACGGAGGGGGCAAGCGUUGUUCGGGAAUUACUGGGUGUAAAGGGCGUGUAGGCGGCGGUUUUAGUCAGGCGUGAAAGCCCGAGGCUCAACCUCGGAAUAGCGCUUGAUACUGAACUGCUUGAGACCGGAAGAGGGUAGUGGAAUUCCCAGUGUAGAGGUGAAAUUCGUAGAUAUUGGGAAGAACACCAGUGGCGAAGGCGACUUCCUGGACUAUUACUGACACUGAGGAGCGAAAGCGUGGGGAGCAAACAGGAUUAGAUA
rnacentral:rRNA from 1 species